GACAGAGGUCCCGAGCGUUAGGCGGAAUCACUGGGCUUAAAGCGUGUGUAGGCGGGCGGGCAAGUACCUUGUGAAAUCCCACGGCUCAACCGUGGAACUGCUGGGUAUACUGCCUGUCUUAAGCCAGCCAGGGGCAGUCGGAACAGACGGUGGAGCGGUGAAAUGCGUAGAUAUCGUCUGGAACGCCAAAGGUGAAAACAGACUGCUGGGGCUGUGCUGACGCUGAGACACGAAAGCCAGGGGAGCGAACGGG
rnacentral:rRNA from 1 species